rnacentral:misc_RNA from 1 species
GAUGAAGAACGUAGCGAAAUGCGAUAAGUAAUGUGAAUUGCAGAAUUCAGUGAAUCAUCGAAUCUUUGAACGCACAUUGCGCCCCCUGGUAUUCCGGGGGGCAUGCCUGUCCGAGCGUCAUUACAACCCUCAAGCUCAGCUUGGUGUUGGGCCCCGCCGCCCCGGCGGGCCCUAAAGUCAGUGGCGGUGCCGUCCGGCUCCGAGCGUAGUAAUUCUUCUCGCUCUGGAGGUCCGGUCGUGUGCUCGCCAGCAACCCCCAAUUUUUUUCAGGUUGACCUCGGAUCAGGUAGGGAUACCCUCUGAACUUAAGCAUAUCAAUAAGCGGAGGA